rnacentral:rRNA from 1 species
AACCCCUUUUGAAUCUACGAGGACCACCUCGUAAGACUAAAUAUUACUGAAUAACCGAUAGUGAACCAGUACCGUGAGGGAAAGGUGAAAAGAACCCCGGGAGGGGAGUGAAAUAGAACAUGAAAUCGUAAGUUUACAAGCAGUAGAAGAGCGACUUAACGCUCGACUUCGUGCCUGUUGAAGAAUGAGCUGGCGACUUGUAGGUUGUGGCAAGGUUAAGAUAAGAGAAUAUCGGAGCCAUAGUGAAAGCGAGCCUGAUAAGGGCUUUAAGUCAUAAUUUACAGACCCGAACCCGGAUGAUCUAAUCAUGGCCAGUGUGAAACUUAGGUAACACUAAGUGGAGGUACCAACCGACUGUUGUUGAAAAAACAGCGGAUGAGUUGUGAUUAGGGGUGAAAUUCCAAUCGAAUCCGGAGCUAGCUGGAUCUCCCCGAAAUGCGUUGAGGCGCAGCGGUUAAUGUUUCUUCUUAGGGGUAAAGCUACUGUUUUGGUGCGGGCUGCGAGAGCGGUACCAAAUCAAGGCAAACUCUGAAUACUAAGACGUUUAGUUAACCAGUGAGACAUUGGGGGAUAAGCUUCAGUGUCAAGAGGGAAACAGCCCAGAUUACUAGCUAAGGCCCCUAAAUAAUUACUAAGUGGCAAAGGAGGUGGGAUUGCAGAGACAAUCAGGAGGUUUGCCCAGAAGCAGCAAUCCUUUAAAGAGUGCGUAAUAGCUCACUGUUCGAGUGAUCCUGCGCCGAAAAUGACUGGGACUAAGUAAUUUGCCGAAGCUGUAAGAUGUCAAAACAUCGGUAGGGGAGCGUUCUACAUUAGUUUGAAGCGUUAACGGAAGUGGGCGUGGACGAAGUAGAAGUGAGAAUGUUAGCUUGAGUAGCGAAAACAUUGGUGAGAAUCCAAUGCCCCGAAAACCUAAGGGUUCCUCCGGAAGGCUCGUCCGCGGAGGGUGAGUCAGGUCCUAAGGUCAGGCUGAAAAGCGUAGUCGAUGGAUAACAGGUUAAAAUUCCUGUACUGUUUAUUGUUGGUAAAGGGGGACGGAGAAGGCUAGGCUGACCGAAUUUUGGUUAUCGGCUUAAGUAUUCAAGGUGUUGAGGACUGGCGAAAACAGUCUGAGCUGAGAUGCGAAUAGGAAGGUGCUAAGGCACUGAACCAGUUGAUGUCAUGCUUCCAAGAAAAGCCCUAACUACCAUAAGCAAUAAAUACCUGUACCCUAAACCGACACAGGUGGGUAAGUAGAGUAUACUAAGGGGCGCGAGAUAACUCUCUCUAAGGAACUCGGCAAAAUAGCCUCGUAACUUCGGGAGAAGAGGUACCCUUUAUUGGGUUGCAAGAACCAGACGCUGGCGACUGUUUAUCAAAAACACAGGUCUCCGCAAAGUCGUAAGACGAUAUAUGGGGGCUGACACCUGCCCAGUGCCGGAAGGUUAAGGAAGCUUGUUAGUCUUUUGACAAAGCUCGCGACCGAAGCCCCGGUGAACGGCGGCCGUAACUAUAACGGUCCUAAGGUAGCGAAAUUCCUUGUCGGGUAAGUUCCGACCCGCACGAAAGGCGUAA